AACGCGAAGAACCUUACCAGGACUUGACAUGUAGAUGAUCAUGCUAGAGAUAGUACUUCCUUCGGGACAUUUACACAGAUGCUGCAUGGCUGUCGUCAGCUCGUGUCGUGAGAUGUUGGGUUAAGUCCCGCAACGAGCGCAACCCCCGUGGUUAGUUGCAUAUCUAGCCAGACUGCCGAGAGUAACUCGGAGGAAGGUGGGGAUGACGUCAAGUCAGCAUGGCUCUUACGUCCUGGGCUACACACACGCUACAAUGGCCGGUACAGAGGGAGGCGAAGCCGCGAGGUGGAGCAAAUCCCAAAAAGCCGGUCCCAGUUCAGAUUGCAGGCUGCAACCCGCCUGCAUGAAGUCGGAGUUGCUAGUAACCGCAAGUCAGCACAUUGCGGUGAAUAUGUUCCCGGGCCUUGUACACACCGUACGUC
rnacentral:rRNA from 1 species